CCUUACCUCCUUCAGCCGCCAAUUACUUUCACUCCAAUAAACCCACUCAUCGAAGAAAGAAAGAAAAGAAAAGGAAAGAAGGAAGGGGGACCGAGGAAGGAGGGAGAUGGGGGAGAAGAGGGAGGCGGCGCGGUGGGUGUCACUGCCACCGCCGCCGCCGCUGCUAAUCGAGAGAAGGGGAGAUCCAAGAAAGAGAGAGAGUGCGUUGGUGGGAGAGGAAGACCGCUGCCACAGUUGCCGCCGUUCGUCCUCCAACUCGUCGCCACCAUCGCGGAUCGCCAGUGACCUCGCGCCCGUCGCCGACGACCACGAGCCAGAGGAGAAGAAGAACGAUACUAUUACGCUGUUCCUCGCUGCAGAUGAAGUUCGCCGCCGCAGCCGUUACUGUUCGCGCUGUCGUCGUCGCCGAAGGGAGCCAUCGUCGCUGUCAUCGGAACAGAGGGCGAGAGAGAGACAGAGAGCUCGCGGUGGGGGAAAGGAUAGGCGCCGCCGUGCUGAGUGAAGCUCCCGCCGCCGUUCCUGCCGCCGUCCAGCCUCAGUUAGCACCGCCGAAGCUCCUGCCAUCACCGUCGUUGAAGAAGCUCACCGGAGCUGCUGGAGGCUACCGCCGCUCUACCUAGUUCUGUUUUGAGUCGCGCAACCGUGUCCGUGGCCGUCGGAGACCGUAUCUGAAGCCUCUAUCUUCUUGGGUUUUGGUUGUUGCAAGUUACUCGGCUCUACGUUGUUGUCGGAACUAGGCCAGAUUUACCGGACAGAUGCAUAGGUCCCUGAUUAUGUUCUUUGCUGCUCCGUCGUUUUGUUUUCUAUAGCUGUAGGUCGAGUUUCGGUAAUCACAUGGUUGGAGUAAAAGUCGUUUUUGUUGUUGUGAAAGUAAACGGAACUGCGGAUGCAGCUGCCGCUGAAUGCGAGCCGAAAGAAAAAGAGUUUAGUCUCGUAGUUAGAUCGCAAUCGAGCUUUAUCUUUUCAGGAACCGGGUGAAGCAUUAAGAAGUGUUAUACUGCGUUUGGUUUAUAUGUUGUUGUAUUAAUUAGAUUAUUUUCUUCCCUCGUCUUUGUUAUUAAAAUUUUGUAAGAGGGAUAGGAAUUGUAUGUUUUAUAUGUAUAAUAUAUUG